rnacentral:rRNA from 1 species
AGAGUUUGAUCCUGGCUCAGAACGAACGCUGGCGGCGUGCCUAACACAUGCAAGUCGAACGUGAUUGAGGAGCUUGCUCCUCAUGAAAGUGGCGCACGGGUGAGUAACGCGUAGAUAAUCUACCUGAUGAUCUGGGAUAACACUUCGAAAGGGGUGCUAAUACCUGAUAAGCUCACGGAGUCCUUGGAUUCUGCGAGAAAAGGGGGGGACCUUUACCGGCCUUCCGUCAUCAGAUGAGUCUGCGUACCAUUAGCUAGUUGGUAGGGUAAAGGCCUACCAAGGCGACGAUGGUUAGCCGGCCUGAGAGGGUGUACGGCCACACUGGCACUGAGAUACGGGCCAGACUCCUACGGGAGGCAGCAGUGGGGAAUUUUGCGCAAUGGGGGAAACCCUGACGCAGCAACGCCGCGUGAGUGAUGAAGGCCUUCGGGUCGUAAAGCUCUUUUAGUGGGGAAGAAGCCCCGCAGGACUAAUACUUCUGCGGUCUGACGGUACCCACAGAAAAAGUUCCGGCUAACUACGUGCCAGCAGCCGCGGUAAUACGUAGGGAGCAAGCGUUGUUCGGAAUUAUUGGGCGUAAAGAGCGCGUAGGCGGUUCGGUAAGUCUGACGUGAAAUCCCGGAGCUUAACUCCGGAACUGCGUUGGAUACUGCCGAGCUUGAGUGUGGGAGAGGAGAGUGGAAUUCCCAGUGUAGAGGUGAAAUUCGUAGAUAUUGGGAGGAACACCGGUGGCGAAGGCGGCUCUCUGGACCACAACUGACGCUGAGGCGCGAAAGCUAGGGUAGCAAACGGGAUUAGAUACCCUGGUAGUCC